GGGGUUGUGGCUCCGUGUUAGAGCUCUUACCUAGCAUGUGUGAGGCACUGGGUUCAAUUCUCAGCACCACA
rnacentral:tRNA from 1 species